rnacentral:rRNA from 1 species
UACGUAGGGUGCGAGCGUUAAUCGGAAUUACUGGGCGUAAAGCGUGCGCAGGCGGUGAUGUAAGUCAGAUGUGAAAUCCCCGGGCUCAACCUGGGAACUGCAUUUGUGACUGCAUCGCUGGAGUGCGGCAGAGGGGGAUGGAAUUCCGCGUGUAGCAGUGAAAUGCGUAGAUAUGCGGAGGAACACUGAUGGCGAAGGCAAUCCCCUGGGCCUGCACUGACGCUCAUGCACGAAAGCGUGGGGAGCAAACAGG